GAUGAACGCUGGCGGCGUGCUUAACACAUGCAAGUCGAACGGUGAAGCAGGAGCUUGCUCUUGUGGAUCAGUGGCGAACGGGUGAGUAACACGUGAGCAACCUGCCCCUGACUCUGGGAUAAGCGCUGGAAACGGCGUCUAAUACUGGAUAUGUGAUGUGACCGCAUGGUCUGCAUCUGGAAAGAAUUUCGGUUGGGGAUGGGCUCGCGGCCUAUCAGCUUGUUGGUGAGGUAAUGGCUCACCAAGGCGUCGACGGGUAGCCGGCCUGAGAGGGUGACCGGCCACACUGGGACUGAGACACGGCCCAGACUCCUACGGGAGGCAGCAGUGGGGAAUAUUGCACAAUGGGCGGAAGCCUGAUGCAGCAACGCCGCGUGAGGGAUGACGGCCUUCGGGUUGUAAACCUCUUUUAGCAGGGAAGAAGCGAAAGUGACGGUACCUGUAGAAAAAGCACCGGCUAACUACGUGCCAGCCGCCGCCUAA
rnacentral:rRNA from 1 species